rnacentral:rRNA from 1 species
AGCAACUCUGCUGCUUCUUGCUGCCUUCUCUCGCCAAGAAAAAAACACCUCCAAAUCCAUCGCCGUCGAUGAUCCUCUCGGCCUUCCUUCUCAUCUGCUGCGCCGUCGCCACCUGGACGGUGUCCCCGGCCAAGGCACGCCAAAGCCAAAGCCCAUCAUCUGAAAUGGGAGCAGAUCAUCAUCAAGCUUAUGGCACCUUGGACCAGGUGAAGGCGGCUCUUCAGCGGGUGGGGCUCGAGUCGUCCAACCUCAUCAUCGGGGUGGAUUUCACCAAGAGCAACCAGUGGACAGGGAAGCGCUGCUUCGGCGGGAGGAGCCUGCACGACCUCGCCGCCGGCCCGAACCCGUACGAGGAGGCCAUCGGCAUCGUCGGCGACACGCUGUCGGCCUACGACGAGGACAACGCCAUCCCCUGCUUCGGCUUCGGGGACACGUCCACGCACGACCAGGGCGUGUUCAGCUUCUACGGGGACAGGCGGCCGUGCGCCGGCAUCCCGGAGGCCCUGCUGCGUUACCGGGAGAUCGCCGCCACCGUUCAGCUCUCCGGGCCGACAUCUCUGGCGCCGAUCAUAGAGGCUGCAAUGGGGAUAGUCCAGCGCUCCGGGCAUCAGUACCACAUCCUGCUGAUAAUCGCUGACGGGCAGGUGAUCAACCGCCAUUUUUGUGUUCCGAGAGGUUGCGGCGCUCAUCGCGCCAGCUCCCCGGACGAAUCAAGAUCAGAGAACUACAUGGAGGAGAGGACUCUCCAGGCCCUCAUACAGGCCAGCCAUUUCCCUCUGUCCAUCGUCCUCGUCGGGGUCGGGGACGGACCAUGGGACGACGAUCAGAUGCGGUUCCACGACGGCCGGCGCCGAUUCGAUAACUUCCAGUUUGUAGAUUUCACCAAGAUCAUGUCGGCGGAGAUGUCCCGCGCCGAGAAGGGGGAGCGGUUCGCGCUCGAGGCGCUAGAGAAGAUCCCGAGCCAGUACGCUGCGAUCAUCAGCCAGCGAAUCAGUGAUCUGGCUGCGAGGGCGCCUGCGAGGACGCCUCUUCCUCCUCCAUCCUGAGCAUCCGGUUCACCGUCGGUUUCGCUGCGCAGGCAGGUUCAUGAUAUGGUCACAUUGUUGGAGGAUGAAGUUAGCCAUUUUAGUUCCCAUCCCCUGUGUGUGCUUGUACACUUCAGAGCACCUCAAUUUCCAGCCCACAUCUCCUGUUCAUUUGUACUCUUUUAAUAAUAGCAUAUAUCUUUAUUGACAGAGUUGGCUAGUCUUCAUAUAUGUUACAGAAGAAAAUCAUAUAUUUUGCCUGUGUAGUCCACUUGAAUCAGCAAAUAUGAAUUGUGGUGGUCAUAUAAGAAAUCCAGGGUAAAGUGAUAUUUUGAAACGAGGCAAUUUUCCCAAAGAAUGAAACAUCUUCACUAUAUCCCGAGUCGGUAACUUUCUCUACAAUUACACGCCGCCAUCGAACACCCUCGUGAGUCUGCACACUACAAACAAGCACGGACAAAUUUCCCAGACAUCUACAGGAAGAACCCAAGCUAAAAAAAUCUAAUGUUCUCUUUGCUUUUUCUUUUGUCGAAACAAAGGAGCAGUCGGCCCGUGUUUCGAUCUGUAUAAACACCACGCCGCUGCUAUAUCAGGGGUUCGGAGAGCUCCAUCUCGUUGGAGGUCUCCUCUGCCUCGGCAGGCGGCAGUCGUACGUAGUUCAGCCCCAGCCACUGCCAUGGCCAGCACACGUACCUGUGGCCGCUGCGGCUGCUCGGGUCCGCCCUAUUGUCCGACUCCUCCGCCUGCCUGUUGAGCUCCUCCAGCCGCUCGCGCAGCCUUGCGGAUCUCGUGUCGGCGAGCUUUAAGGAUUUCUCUGCGGCGUCGCGGGCCGCCAUUGCGGCGGCCGCCGUCUCCUCCUUGAACUUGAGCUUGUUUUCCAGCUCCACCAUUGUUUCUCUUGCUUCCUCUAGUUCCUUGUGGAGGGACGAAAUCUGUGCAGUCAGAUGAAGGUUAGUUAUAACUCAGUUCAGCUUAUCAAGAAUCAAGGAGGCUGUUGAUGACAACGAGAAAGGACGAUUUGCUUCAUAUGAGAACAAGCCAUGAAGAUACUACACAUCCUUGUACAUUCAUAUAUCCUUCACACAGCGGCAUUAUAAGUUACCAACAUAAAGCCUGUUAAUUACAACCAGAAAGGGUACUUUGCCCUAUAUGGGAAACAAGCCAUUUCCUUGCACUGGUUAUCUACAGUUAUCAACAUCAGGCCUGUUGAUUACAAGUUAUCUACAGAAGUUUUUUAUUUCCAAAAUAAAUCAACAUUUAUGCUAACUCGCACAAGAAAGUAUCCUUCAUACAGCCACAAUAAAAGAUCAUGUUGCAGUCGCUAAAGAGUCUCGAGCGACCAUAGUUGGUCCUUCGCAAGAUUUAUAGUGAGAGAACAUUUUGAAUUUGGAACAUAGGAGAAUGGGUGUGAGUAAGUCGAAUGCACAAAUCGUGGAUUAGGUAGGAGGACAACAUCUAUCGCCGCGUUGAAUUGUAUAAUUUCUUAGCCCUCUUCUGCUAUGACAUGGAACCAAAAUAAUUGGUUGGGCAGAGAAACUAAAAUCAGGACCAUGAUUUUGAAUUGGAGUGGCAUACUUGCAUUUAUAAUUUGUGUUUUUACAAGGAGUGUUAUUCUCACAUUACAAUACCAAGUUGUGGGACUCAGCUACAUCUGCUGCCAGACACUACUGAUUGCAAAACCCUUCCUUGCACUUUAUUGCACAUCACUUAGCACAACUUAUCUAUACUGACGGGCAUAGUUGCUUAAGGCAUCAAAAUUAUUGUUUCUCAAUCGAAGCAUUUUUCUAUGGACAAUGUGGCAAUGCAAUAUCUAAAACUGGUAGUAACAACUGAAGGAUACUCUAACAUUGCUAUAACUAACUUCCAAGAUGUAACAACAAAAGACCACAUGGAAACAAUUCAUUAUACGAAACUGAAUACAACAAUGAAACCAUAAUAAAGCUGAUAUUGAACCACAAGCUACAUCAUACAAUAACAGAAGUAUUAUGUUUGUCUCACUAUGCUAAAUAAGAAUAAAACCCCUGCUACACUCAACACCAUGUGUCUGUAUCAGUAUAGCAUAAGAUAUCGUCGAUACAUAAUGAUGUUUCAGCUAAACUGCAAAGAACAAGUCAUUGUGUAACCUCUGUCAAAUGAUAUUAUGAUAACACUAAUCAAGAAUGCUACUUAGGUGUUCAAGCAUGCCUAGUACGAUCCUGUGCUUUCUUACACUUUCUGUAGUGCCUUGCUGUCAAAACACCAAACAUAUGUUUCAAAAGUGCACAUGGUAGUAUGCCAGCAUGUUCACUGUGUUUAAUUCUUAAUAUUACUCUGUUCUCCACAAGAAAUAUUUAAUAUCAGACGACUGCAAUUCUAAGUGAUUAAUUCAGUCAAGCAUUUGCUUGUCUAGUUAACUCAUGGAGUCAUGGUCGUUUGCUAACAUGUUUACCGUGCUUAAUAUUACUCUGUUCCCCAAAAGAAAUAUC